rnacentral:rRNA from 1 species
UGGGGAAUAUUGCACAAUGGGGGAAACCCUGAUGCAGCGACGCCGCGUGGAGGAAGAAGGCCCUCGGGUUGUAAACUCCUGUCUUUGGGGACGAUAAUGACGGUACCCAAGGAGGAAGCCACGGCUAACUACGUGCCAGCAGCCGCGGUAAAACGUAGGUGGCAAGCGUUGUCCGGAAUUACUGGGUGUAAAGGGAGCGCAGGCGGAGCGGCAAGUUGGAGGUGAAACUCAUGGGCUCAACCCGAUGAACUGCCUUCAAAAUCUGUCGGUCUUGAGUGGUGUAGAGGUAAGCGGAAUUCCCGGUGUAGCGGUGGAAUGCGUAGAUAUCGGGGAGGAACACCAGUGGCGAAGGCGGCUUACUGGGCACUAACUGACGCUGAGGCUCGAAAGCAUGGGUAGCAAACAGGAUUAGAUACCC